rnacentral:tRNA from 1 species
GGCCUCGUAGCUCAACGGAUUAGAGCAUCUGACUACGGAUCAGAAGGUUAGAGGUUCGAAUCCCUUCGAGGUCA